AAAGUCGUAACAAGGUUUCCGUAGGUGAACCUGCGGAAGGAUCAUUAUCAAGUACCGAGUAGCUAUAAGCUGCUCACCAACCAAUGUGAAUUGGGGUGCUCUGAGCACUCUUAGAUAUAGACGAUAAACGAGUCGGAUAAACACACAAUGAAAAACAACUUUUAACAAUGGAUCUCUUGGCUCUU
rnacentral:misc_RNA from 1 species